CCGAGUUUACAACUCCCAAACCCAAUGUGAACGUUACCAAACUGUUGCCUCGGCGGGAUCUCUGCCCCGGGUGCGUCGCAGCCCCGGACCAAGGCGCCCGCCGGAGGACCCAAACCUUCUGAAUUUUUUAAUAAGUAUCUUCUGAGUGGUUAAAAAAAAUGAAUCA
rnacentral:misc_RNA from 1 species